AGAGUUUGAUCCUGGCUCAGGAUGAACGCUGGCGGCGUGCCUAACACAUGCAAGUCGAGCGAGAAAUUACUCAAUGAAUCUUCGGAAGAAUUGAAUAAUGGAAAGCGGCGGACGGGUGAGUAACGCGUGGGCAACCUGCCUUUCACAGAGGGAUAGCCAAAGGAAACUUUGAUUAAAACCUCAUAAAGCCGAAAUGUUGCAUAGCAAGACGGCCAAAGAUUUAUCGGUGAAAGAUGGGCCCGCGUCUGAUUAGUUAGUUGGUGGGGUAACGGCUCACCAAGGCGACGAUCAGUAGCCGACCUGAGAGGGUGAUCGGCCACAUUGGAACUGAGACACGGUCCAAACUCCUACGGAAGCGCAGGGUUUAAGGCAAUGGCUUAACUAUUGUUCGCCUUGCGAACUGGGUCACUUGAGUACAGGAGAGGAAAGCGGAAUUCCUAGUGUAGCGGUGAAAUGCAUAGAUAUUAGGAGGAACACCGGUGGCGAAGGCGGCUUUCUGGACUGCAACUGACACUGAGGCACGAAAGCGUGGGUAGCAAACAGGAUUAGAUACCCUGGUAGUCCACGCCGUAAACGAUGAGCACUAGGUGUCGGCCAAUAAAGGUCGGUGCCGCAGUUAACGCAUUAAGUGCUCCGCCUGGGGAGUACGCACGCAAGUGUAAAACUCAAAGGAAUUGACGGGGACCCGCACAAGCAGCGGAGCAUGUGGUUUAAUUCGAAGCAACGCGAAGAACCUUACCAGAGCUUGACAUCCCUCUGACAGAUCCUUAAUCGGAUUUUUCUUCGGACAGAGGAGACAGGUGGUGCAUGGUUGUCGUCAGCUCGUGUCGUGAGAUGUUGGGUUAAGUCCCGCAACGAGCGCAACCCUUAUCAUUAGUUGCCAUCAUUAAGUUGGGCACUCUAGUGAGACUGCCGGGGACAACUCGGAGGAAGGUGGGGAUGACGUCAAAUCAUCAUGCCCCUUAUGUUCUGGGCUACACACGUGCUACAAUGGUCGGUACAGAAAGCAGCGAAACCGUGAGGUGAAGCCAAUCUCCAAAACCGAUCUCAGUUCGGAUUGUAGGCUGCAACUCGCCUACAUGAAGUCGGAGUUGCUAGUAAUCGCAGAUCAGAAUGCUGCGGUGAAUGCGUUCCCGGGUCUUGUACACACCGCCCGUCACACCAUGGAAGUUGGGGGGGUGAAUGCGUUCCCGGGUCUUGUACACACCGCCCGUCACACCA
rnacentral:rRNA from 1 species